AAGGGAUAGUAACACGUAGGUACUUACCUCUGGGACGGGGAUAGCCGGGGGAAACCCCGAUUAAUACCCGAUAACAUCUUCGGAUCAAAGGUGUGAUUCCGCCUGGAGACGGGCCUGCGUCCUAUCAGCUAGUUGGGGAGGUAACGGCUCACCAAGGCUAGGACGGGUAGCGGGUGUGAGAGCACGACCCGCAUCACUGGGACUGAGACACUGCCCAGACACCUACGGGUGGCUGCAGUCGAGAAUCUUCGUCAAUGGGCGAAAGCCUGAACGAGCGACGCCGCGUGCGGGAUGAAGGCCUUCGGGUUGUAAACCGCUGUCAGUGGGAAUGAAAUGCCAGGGGGCUCACCCCCUGGUUUGACAGACCCGCAGAGGAAGGACGGGCUAAGUUCGUGCCAGCAGCCGCGGUAAUACGAACCGUCCAAACGUUAUUCGGAAUCACUGGGCUUAAAGGGUGCGUAGGCGGCCCGGUAAGUUGGGUGUGAAAUCCCACGGCUCAACCGUGGAAUUGCGCCCAAAACUGUCGGGCUUGAGGGAGAUAGAGGUAAGCGGAACUUAGGGUGGAGCGGUGAAAUGCGUUGA
rnacentral:rRNA from 1 species